rnacentral:rRNA from 1 species
AGAGUUUGAUCCUGGCUCAGGACGAACGCUGGCGGCGUGCCUAACACAUGCAAGUCGAACGCUGUCCAUUCGGUGGCAACACUGAUGAAGACGGAGUGGCGAACGGGUGAGUAGCACGUGAGCAACCUGCCCCGAAGACCGGGACAACACCGGGAAACCGGUGCUAAUACCGGAUGCCCCCACCGGGCCGCAUGACCUGGUGAGGAAAUGGAUUCCGCUUCGGGAGGGGCUCGCGGCCUAUCAGCUAGUUGGUGGGGUAACGGCCUACCAAGGCGUCGACGGGUAGCUGGUCUGAGAGGACGAUCAGCCACACUGGGACUGAGACACGGCCCAGACUCCUACGGGAGGCAGCAGUGGGGAAUCUUGCGCAAUGGGCGAAAGCCUGACGCAGCAACGCCGCGUGAGGGACGAAGGCUUUCUGAGUUGUAAACCUCUUUCAGCAGGAACGAUAGUGACGGUACCUGCAGAAGAAGCACCGGCCAACUACGUGCCAGCAGCCGCGGUGAUACGUAGGGUGCAAGCGUUGUCCGGAUUUAUUGGGCGUAAAGAGCUCGUAGGCGGUUUGAUAAGUCGGAUGUGAAACCCCCAGGCUUAACCUGGGGCCGCCAUUCGAUACUGUCAUGGCUAGAGUCCGGUAGGGGACCAUGGAAUUCCUGGUGUAGCGGUGAAAUGCGCAGAUAUCAGGAGGAACACCAGUGGCGAAGGCGGUGGUCUGGGCCGGUACUGACGCUGAGGAGCGAAAGCGUGGGGAGCGAACAGGAUUAGAUACCCCGGUAGUCC